rnacentral:rRNA from 1 species
UGGCUGUCGUCAGCUCGUGUCGUGAGAUGUUGGGUUAAGUCCGUAACGAGCGCAACCCUUGUCCUUAGUUACCAGCACGUUAUGGUGGGCACUCUAAGGAGACUGCCGGUGACAAACCGGACGGAAAGGUGGGGAGUGACGUCAAGUCAUCAUGGCCCUUACGGCCUGGGCUACACACGUGCUACAAUGGUCGGUACAAAGGGUUGCCAAGCCGCGAGGUGGGGCUAAUCCCAUAAAACCGAUCGUAGUCCGGAUCGCAGUCUGCAACUCGACUGCGUGAAGUCGGAAUCGCUAGUAAUCGUGAAUCAGAAUGUCACGGUGAAUACGUUCCCGGGCCUU